UAUUAAAAAAGAUAACAGAUCCAAUGAUUAUUAUAAUUAGUUAGAUUGAUGGCCGGAUGUUUCUGAUUUUUGUGAGAAUUUAUAGAAUUUCUCUAUUUUUUUAGUGUCUACCUAGGAUCCUAGGUCACUUCAUGUGGAGGCUCCAAAUAAGCUUCCAAUUAGUGAUAGUAAGAUUUUGUGUAAGAAGUAAAUGCAAAAAUCGAAAAUGCCAGUGCCUGCAUCUUACUAUUACAGGUGAACUGGUCCUUGCUGUAUCAACGAUGUUACUUGUUGUCAUCGCCACUGCCCUUUUCCAAUUUAUCGACUUGAGAGAGUCCCAAGGCCGUGCAAUACUGUCCUUGGUGAUAGCGGCCGUGAAGCAAUAGUUGCCACCUUGUGCAUCAUUUGCAUGACACUUAUCACCCUGAUGCUGGUGUUCUGAAACGGCUCAAGUUGUCAAAGCUCUGCUUCUUGCUCUCAUUGCAAUUGCAAGGCUUGUAGGAGAAGUGCAUGAGCGUGCAGAGAUGCGCUAAAAGUAACAGAGCCUUUUUAUUUCGUGAUAGAAGGGAGGGAAUACUGUAAUUCAAGAUCCUGGCACCAACUGAAUAUGGGAUCCUAUCAUUACUGAUUUGCAGCUUUCCUUUCCCAGUCGCAGCUGACUGUGAACCUGUGAUUAAUCUACUGACAGAGAGCUUUGAUAUGUGAAGUGGUUGGCUAAAAGUUUGUUGAGAGUCAUGAGACAAGAGUCAAGAUACGAUAUUACAGUGCAGACUAGUAGCUCUUUGGUGAGUUUACUAUGAAUUUUUCUGAUAAGUAAUUGUGAUCCUAGAUUUCUAUGAA